UCCAGACUCCUACGGGAGGCAGCAGUGGGGAAUAUUGCACAAUGGGGGAAACCCUGAUGCAGCGACGCCGCGUGAGCGAAGAAGUAUUUCGGUAUGUAAAGCUCUAUCAGCAGGGAAGAAAAAAAUGACGGUACCUGAGUAAGAAGCACCGGCUAAAUACGUGCCAGCAGCCGCGGUAAUACGUAUGGUGCAAGCGUUAUCCAGAUUUACUGGGUGUAAAGGGAGCGUAGGCGGCGCGUUAAGUCUGAUGUGAAAACCCGAGGCUCAACCACGGGAGUGCAUUGGAAACUGGCGGGCUGGAGUGCCGGAGAGGUAAGCGGAAUUCCUAGUGUAGCGGUGAAAUGCGUAGAUAUUAGGAGGAACACCAGUGGCGAAGGCGGCUUACUGGACGGCAACUGACACUGAGGCUCGAAAGCGUGGGGAGCAAACAGGAUUAGAUACCCUAGUA
rnacentral:rRNA from 1 species